GAUGAACGCUGGCGGCGUGCUUAAUACAUGCAAGUCGAACGGACAGGCCCUGCUCUUGUGGGGUUCUCGAGUGGCGAACGGGUGAGUAACACGCGAGUAACCUGCCCCUGUCUGUGGGAUAACUUCACGAAAAUGCGGAUAUUAUCGGAUAGGAGCUCCUGCAGCACGGUGUGGGAUGGAAAGAGUCGGCGGUUGGGGAUGGAUUCGCGGCUUAUCAGCUGGUUGGGGGAGUUGGGGCUGACAAAGGCUUUGACGGGUCGGCGGCCUGAGAGGGGGACCGGCGACAUUGGGACUGAGAGACGGCGCAGACUCCAACGGGACGCAGCAGUGGGGAAUAUUGCAGAACAGGCGGAAGCCUGAUGCAGAAACGCCGCGUGCGGGAUGACGGCCUUCGGGUUGUAAACCGCUUUCGCCUGUGACGAAGCGUGAGUGACGGUAAUGGGUCAAGAAGCACCGGCUAACUACGUG
rnacentral:rRNA from 1 species